CGAGCCGGGCGGACGGCCGCGUGAAGACCCCUUCGGGGGCCCUUCCCGAGGAACGUCCGGGCUCCACAGGGCAAGGUGGUGGCUAACGGCCACCCGGGGUGACCCGCGGGACAGUGCCACAGAGAACAGACCGCCCGGCGCUCAGGCGCCGGGUAAGGGUGAAACGGUGGUGUAAGAGACCACCAGCGCCUGAGGUGACUCAGGCGGCUAGGUAAACCCCACCUGGAGCAAGGUCAAAAGGAGCGCCGUCACACGCGCUCUGCGCGGACGUUCGAGGGCUGCCCGCCCGAGUCCGCGGGUAGACCGCACGAGGCCGGCAGCAAUGCCGGUCCUAGAUGGAUGGCCGUCGCCCCGAAGGCCGCGAGGCCCCGGGGAACAGAACCCGGCGUACAGCUCGGCUCGUCUG
rnacentral:RNase_P_RNA from 1 species